AUAAUGAGAGGGUACAAUUACCCAUUCACAACAAGCUCUUGUGAUUACCCAUCCUUUUGGCCUCUAGAAAAUAAUACCUCACGAUGAUACGAUGUUGGCAUUAUGUUUCUUAGUUAAGUUCUUUCCCAUCAUGCCGGUUUAGCUAGGGGUUCAAGCAUGACCUCACGAUGAUACGAUGUUGGCCAUACUCGUUGCCUACCUUAACCUCAUCAAUUUUUUUAAAUAAACUCCUCCUGAAUAUAAGCAUGCACUUUGUCACUUCCCCAUGAUAGGGUGAAGGCGGUGUACAAGUCAUAAACGCUUGGAGCCUACCACGGUGGAAGGCCACGAAAACGUGUUCUAAGCACUCUUACGCUUUCAACUUAAUAUUUGUUUGGUUGAGGGAUUUUAAGGUCUCAUCAAUUUUAUUUAUUUAAUCACAAUCAAAUAAAUAAUGUCCUAUUACAACUACUAGUCCAAAGUUAAUGAAAUUAGUAGCAUAUGAUAUCCCCACUAUUCGUUUUCAUAAAACAAAUCAAUAUCAAAACAUUUUUCAAAAUAUUGGAGAUAUAUAUAACUACUAAUUGUAUUCACUAUAAUUUAGUAGCGUAUGAUACUCCCACUAUUUGUUUUGAGAAAAACAAAUCAAUAUAAAAAAAACGAAUUUUUCAAAUAUUGGAAGUAACUACUACUACUAAGGUUUUUGCAUUCCUUUGAAAUUGGACUUUAUAGUUAUCUUAGGUUCUUGGAUGACUAUGGACUUAAUAGGUUAUUGCAACAACGAGCCAUCAUUGUUGAAUAUAAACUCGGGGAG
rnacentral:lncRNA from 1 species